AUGACUUCCAAGACAAUGCCCCAAACCAUCCCAACAAUCCCCAACACUGAAGAAAAGAAGCAGUGUUCUCAGAAUGAUUCCUCUCUGGAUCUCACCAGUUCGAGUAAACCCAGUACAGGCUUGCCAAGAAAAUUGCCCGAAUCGGCUAUCCCGAGCAGUCCAAACAAAGAAGUCCAGUCCAAUGACCAGAAACCAUCUCACAAGCUACAUGAGUCCGUUGAUGUUACAUCCAGCAAGGUUCCUGCAGAUGAUGAGAAGGAUACAGUGGAAAAUGGAAACACAGAUGGAAACGUGAAAUCAGACUCGACGGUAGAUAAGGAUCAUGGUGCAGCUAGUGCAAGUGGAAGUGCCAGGUUGACAGGAAGGUCUGAGACUGGAGAAAGAGGUAUUAGUAGCCGAUGCAGGCCGAGCACAGGCAGUGAUGUCAGCGAGGAAAGCGCGUGCAGCAGUUUUAGUAGCACCAGCAAGCCUCACAAGGCAAAUGAUUCACGGUGGGAGGCAAUCCAGAUGAUCAGGACUAGAGAUGGGAUUCUUGGCCUCAGCCAUUUUAAGCUAUUGAAGAAGCUAGGUUGUGGUGACAUCGGCAGUGUGUAUCUUUCAGAGUUGACUGGAACCAAGAGCUAUUUUGCAAUGAAGGUUAUGGACAAGGCAUCACUCACAGGCCGUAAGAAGUUGCUUCGAGCCCAGACUGAGAAGGAAAUCUUACAGUGCUUGGAUCAUCCUUUUCUUCCAACACUGUACACACACUUUGAGACUGACAAGUUCUCAUGUCUGGUUAUGGAGUUUUGCCCUGGGGGAGACUUGCAUACACUUCGACAGAAACAGCGUGGCAAGUAUUUUCCAGAACAAGCUGUCAAAUUCUAUGUAGCAGAAAUCCUCCUUGCUAUGGAGUACUUGCACAUGCUCGGUAUCAUAUAUCGUGAUCUGAAGCCUGAAAACAUUCUUGUCCGUGAUGACGGGCACAUCAUGCUAUCCGACUUCGACCUCUCCCUUCGCUGUACAGUUAGCCCGACUUUAAUCAGGUCAUCCAAUCCCGAAACAGAAGCACUUCGGAAGAGCAGCCAAGCCUACUGUGUUCAACCAGCUUGUGCAGAGCCAUCCUGCAUGAUACAGCCAUCGUGCACAGCUCCCACAACAUGCUUUGGCCCUCGGUUCUUCUCGAAGUCGAAGAAAGAUCGAAAGCCAAAGCCUGAAGUUGUCAACCAGGUCCGUCCAUGGCCCGAGCUCAUGGCAGAACCUAGUGAUGCGCGAUCAAUGUCAUUUGUUGGCACACAUGAGUAUUUGGCCCCUGAGAUUAUCAAAGGUGAGGGCCACGGCAGUGCUGUUGACUGGUGGACCUUUGGUAUAUUCUUAUACGAGCUUCUGUUCGGCAAAACACCUUUCAAAGGUUCAGGUAACCGAGCGACUCUGUUCAAUGUCAUCGGUCAGCCGUUGCGUUUCCCAGAAUACCCAUUUGUGAGCUUCUCAGCAAGAGAUUUAAUAAGGGGCCUACUUGUUAAGGAGCCCCAACAACGAUUGGGUUGUAAGCGUGGCGCCACCGAGAUAAAACAGCAUCCAUUUUUUGAGGGUGUGAAUUGGGCGUUGAUACGCUGUGCGAGCCCUCCAGAGGUUCCGAAGCCUGUUGAGAUUGAGAGGCAGACUACAAAGCUGCCAGUGUCAACAUCUGAGGCUAGUGCAGCACCUACUGGUGCAUCCCAGAAAGGCUCGGAUAACUAUUUAGAGUUUGAUUUCUUUUAG
rnacentral:rRNA from 1 species